GUGGGGAAUAUUGCACAAUGGGGGAAACCCUGAUGCAGCGACGCCGCGUGAGCGAUGAAGGAAUUCGUUUCGUAAAGCUCUGUCCUAGGGGAAGAUAAUGACAGUACCCUUGGAGGAAGCCCCGGCUAAAUACGUGCCAGCAGCCGCGGUAAUACGUAUGGGGCGAGCGUUGUCCGGAAUUAUUGGGCGUAAAGGGUACGUAGGCGGUUUCAUAAGUCAGAUGUAAAAGCGUGGGGCUCAACCCCAUAAAGCAUUUGAAACUGUGGAACUUGAGUAGUGGAGAGGAAAGUGGAAUUCCUAGUGUAGCGGUGAAAUGCGUAGAUAUUAGGAGGAAUACCAGUGGCGAAGGCGACUUUCUGGACACAAACUGACGCUGAGGUACGAAAGCAUGGGGAGCAAACAGGAUUAGAAACCCUAGUAGUCC
rnacentral:rRNA from 1 species